CAACGUAGGGCGCAAGCGUUGUCCGGAAUUAUUGGGCGGUAAAGAGCUCGUAGGCGGUCUGUUGCGUUCCGCUGUGAAAACUCGGGGCUUAACCCCGAGCCUGCAGUGGAUACGGGCAGACUAGAGGUAGGUAGGGGAGAAUGGAAUUCCCGGUGUAGCGGUGAAAAUACGCAGAUAUCGGGAGGAACACCGGUGGCGAAGGCGGUUCUCUGG
rnacentral:rRNA from 1 species